rnacentral:rRNA from 1 species
AGAGUUUGAUCAUGGCUCAGGACGAACGCUGGCGGCGUGCUUAAUACAUGCAAGUCGAGCGAUAAUCCGGGUCGAACUUUUCGAAGCGAGACCUGGAGGAAAGCGGCGAACGGGUGAGUAACGCGUGGGCAACCUACCCUGUACAGCGGGAUAACAUCGGGAAACCGGUGCUAAUACCGCAUGAAGCAUAUUAGUGGCAUCACAGGUAUGUUAAAGGGGAAACCCGGUACGGGAUGGGCCCGCGUCCAAUUAGCUAGUUGGUGGGGUAAUGGCUCACCAAGGCGACGAUUGGUAGCCGAGCUGAGAGGUUGAUCGGCCACAUUGGGACUGAGACACGGCCCAGACUCCUACGGGAGGCAGCAGUAGGGAAUAUUGCGCAAUGGGGGAAACCCUGACGCAGCGACGCCGCGUGAAGGGAGAAGGUUUUCGGAUCGUAAACUUCUUUGACUGGGGACGAAAGUAAUGACGGUACCCAGGGAACAAGCCACGGCUAACUACGUGCCAGCAGCCGCGGUAAUACGUAGGUGGCGAGCGUUGUCCGGAAUUACUGGGUGUAAAGGGCGUGUAGGCGGGAGAGCAAGUCAGAUGUGAAAGCCCAAGGCUCAACUUUGGGACUGCAUCUGAAACUGUUUUUCUUGAGUACUGGAGAGGGAAGCGGAAUUCCUAGUGUAGCGGUGAAAUGCGUAGAGAUUAGGAGGAACACCAGUGGCGAAGGCGGCUUCCUGGACAGAGACUGACGCUGAGGCGCGAAAGCGUGGGGAGCGAACAGGAUUAGAUACCCUGGUAGUCCACGCCGUAAACAAUGGAUACUAGGUGUAGGAGGUAUCAACUCCUUCUGUGCCGGAGUUAACACAAUAAGUAUCCCACCUGGGGAGUACGGCCGCAAGGUUGAAACUCA